rnacentral:rRNA from 1 species
GAAGGUCUUCGGAUUGUAAAGCUCUGUUGCCGGGGAAAAGGAAGGAAAGAGGAAAUGCUUUUCUUUGGAUGGUACCCGGCCAGAAAGUCACGGCUAACUACGUGCC